UGCAAGCGUUACUCGGAAUCACUGGGCGUAAAGCGCGCGCAGGCGGCUAUUUAAGUUGGAUGUGAAAGCUACGGCUCAACCGUAGAACUGCAUCCAAAACUAUUUAGCUAGAGUGUGGGAGAGGAAGAUGGAAUUAGUUGUGUAGGGGUAAAAUCCGUAGAGAUAACUAGGAAUACCAAAAGCGAAGGCAAUCUUCUGGAACACUACUGACGCUGAGGCGCGAAAGCGUGGGGAGCAAACGGGAUUAGAUACCCCGGUAGUCCACGCAGUAAACGAUGAAUGUUAGUCGUCGGGGCCUAGUGUCUUCGGUGAUGCAGCUAACGCAUUAAACAUUCCGCCUGGGGAGUACGGUCGCAAGAUUAAAACUCAAAGGAAUAGACGGGGACCCGCACAAGUGGUGGAGCAUGUGGUUUAAUUCGAAGAUACGCGAAGAACCUUACCUAGCCUUGACAUAUUUAAGAAUCCGGUAGAGAUACUGGAGUGCCUUCGGGAGCUUUCUUACAGGUGCUGCACGGCUGUCGUCAGCUCGUGUCGUGAGAUGUUGGGUUAAGUCCCGCAACGAGCGCAUCCCUCGUCACUAGUUACUAACGGUUCGGCCGAGGACUCUAGUGAGACUGCCUUCGUAAGGAGGAGGAAGGUGAGGACGACGUCAAGUCAUCAUGGCCCUUACGGCUAGGGCAACACACGUGCUACAAUGGCCAGGACAGUGAGACGCGAUACCGUGAGGUGGAGCAAAUCUAUAAACCUGGUCUCAGUUCGGAUUGUAGUCUGCAACUCGACUACAUGAAGCUGGAAUCACUAGCAAUCGUAGAUCAGCUAUGCUACGGUGAAUACGUUCCCGGGUCUUGUACUCACCGCCCGUCACACCAUGGGAGUUGAUUUCACCCGAAGCGGGGAAGCUAAACUGGCUACCCUCCACGGUGGAAUCAGCGACUGGGGUGAAGUCGUAACAAGGUAACC
rnacentral:rRNA from 1 species